UACGGAGGGUGCGAGCGUUGUCCGGAAUCAUUGGGCGUAAAGGGCGCGUAGGUGGCCCGGUCAGUUCGUGGUGAAAGCGCGGGGCUCAACUCCGCGUCGGCCAUGAAUACUGCUGGGCUUGAGCACUGUAGAGGCAGGCGGAAUUCCGGGUGUAGCGGUGGGAUGCGUAGAGAUCCGGAAGAACACCGGUGGCGAAGGCGGCCUGCUGGGCAGUGGCUGACACUGAGGCGCGACAGCGUGGGGAGCAAACAGG
rnacentral:rRNA from 1 species